rnacentral:rRNA from 1 species
AGAGUUUGAUCAUGGCUCAGAACGUACGCUGGCGGCACGCCUAACACAUGCAAGUCGAACGAAGUAGCAAUACUUAGUGGCAGACGGGUGAGUAACAUGUAGGUAUCUACCCUUUGGCCUGGAAUAACACGAGGAAACUUGUGCUAAUACCGGAUAAGUCUUUACGGAGAAAGCUUUAUGCACCAUUGGAUGAGCCUGCACUUGAUUAGUUUGUUGGUGGGGUAAUGGCCUACCAAGACUGUGAUCAAUAGCUGAUUUGAGAGGAUGAUCAGCCACAUUGGGACUGAGACACGGCCCAAACUCCUACGGGAGGCAGCAGUGGGGAAUCUUGCACAAUGGAGGAAACUCUGAUGCAGCGAUGCCGCGUGAGUGAAGAAGGCCUUUGGGUUGUAAAGCUCUUUCGUCGGGGAAGAAAAUGACUGUACCCGAAUAAGAAGGUCCGGCUAACUUCGUGCCAGCAGCCGCGGUAAUACGAAGGGACCUAGCGUAGUUCGGAAUUACUGGGCUUAAAGAGUUCGUAGGUGGUUGAAAAAGUUAGUGGUGAAAUCCCAGAGCUUAACUCUGGAACUGCCAUUAAAACUUUUCAGCUAGAGUAUGAUAGAGGAAAGCAGAAUUUCUAGUGUAGAGGUGAAAUUCGUAGAUAUUAGAAAGAAUACCAAUUGCGAAGGCAGCUUUCUGGAUCAUUACUGACACUGAGGAACGAAAGCAUGGGUAGCGAAGAGGAUUAGAUACCCUCGUAGUCCAUGCCGUAAACGAUGUGUGUUAGACGUUGGAAAUUUAUUUUCAGUGUCGCAGCGAAAGCGAUAAACACACCGCCUGGGGAGUACGACCGCAAGGUUAAAACUCAAAUGAAUUGACGGGGACCCGCACAAGUAGUGGAGCAUGUGGUUUAAUUCGAAGAUACGCGCAGAACCUUACCAACACUUGACAUGUUCGUCGCGACUCUAAGAGAUUAGAGUUUUCGGUUCGGCCGGACGAAACACAGGUGCUGCAUGGCUGUCGUCAGCUCGUGUCGUGAGAUGUUGGGUUAAGUCCCGCAACGAGCGCAACCCUCACUUUUAGUUGCCAUCAUUAAGUUGGGCACUCUGAAAGAACUGCCAGUGAUAAGCUGGAGGAAGGUGGGGAUGACGUCAAGUCCUCAUGGCCCUUACGUGUUGGGCUACACACGUGCUACAAUGGUAUCUACAACAGGAAGCAAGACUGCGAGGUCAAGCAAAUCCUCAAAAGAUACCUCAGUUCGGAUUGCACUCUGCAACUCGAGUGCAUGAAGCUGGAAUUACUAGUAAUCGUGGAUCAGCGUGCCACGGUGAAUGCGUUCCCGGGUCUUGUACACACCGCCCGUCACACCAUGGGAGUUGGUUCUACCUUAAGGCAAGGUUUAAAACCCUUGACCACGGUAUAGUCAGCGACUGGGGUGAAGUCGUAACAAGGUAGCCGUAGGGGAACCUGCGGCUG